UAUCAACCCUCAAGCCUGGCUUGUUGUUGGACCUCUCGUCGUCAAAGACGGGCCCCAAAGCUAAUGACGGAGUCGUGUUGGACCCCAGAUGCAACGAGCUUUUACUAGCACGCGUCAAUGGGACCACCGGCUCUGGUCUUAACCACUUUAUGUAUAACAAGGUUGACCUCGGAUCAGGUAGGAAUACCCGCUGAACUUAA
rnacentral:misc_RNA from 1 species